rnacentral:rRNA from 1 species
GAUGAACGCUAGCGGCAGGCUUAAUACAUGCAAGUCGAGGGGCAGCACGAAUAGCAAUAUUUGGUGGCGACCGGCGCACGGGUGCGUAACACGUAUACAAUCUACCUUAAACGAGGGGGAUAGCCUUUCGAAAGAGAGAUUAAUACCCCGUAAUAAAUUGAAUGGCAUCAUUUGAUUUUGAAAGCUCCGGCGGUUUGAGAUGAGUAUGCGUCUGAUUAGCUAGUUGGUGAGGUAACGGCUCACCAAGGCGACGAUCAGUAGGGGAUCUGAGAGGACUAACCCCCACACUGGUACUGAGACACGGACCAGACUCCUACGGGAGGCAGCAGUAAGGAAUAUUGGUCAAUGGAGGCAACUCUGAACCAGCCAUGCCGCGUGCAGGAUGACGGCCCUAUGGGUUGUAAACUGCUUUUAUACAAGAGAAAACCCUGGUACGUGUACCAGGUUGAUAGUAUUGUAAGAAUAAGCAUCGGCUAACUUCGUG